ACAUGCAAGUCGAGCGGACAGAUGGGAGCUUGCUCCCUGAUGUUAGCGGCGGACGGGUGAGUAACACGUGGGUAACCUGCCUGUAAGACUGGGAUAACUCCGGGAAACCGGGGCUAAUACCGGAUGGUUGUUUGAACCGCAUGGUUCAGACAUAAAAGGUGGCUUCGGCUACCACUUACAGAUGGACCCGCGGCGCAUUAGCUAGUUGGUGAGGUAACGGCUCACCAAGGCGACGAUGCGUAGCCGACCUGAGAGGGUGAUCGGCCACACUGGGACUGAGACACGGCCCAGACUCCUACGGGAGGCAGCAGUAGGGAAUCUUCCGCAAUGGACGAAAGUCUGACGGAGCAACGCCGCGUGAGUGAUGAAGGUUUUCGGAUCGUAAAGCUCUGUUGUUAGGGAAGAACAAGUGCCGUUCAAAUAGGGCGGCACCUUGACGGUACCUAACCAGAAAGCCACGGCUAACUACGUGCCAGCAGCCGCGGUAAUACGUAGGUGGCAAGCGUUGUCCGGAAUUAUUGGGCGUAAAGGGCUCGCAGGCGGUUUCUUAAGUCUGAUGUGAAAGCCCCCGGCUCAACCGGGGAGGGUCAUUGGAAACUGGGGAACUUGAGUGCAGAAGAGGAGAGUGGAAUUCCACGUGUAGCGGUGAAAUGCGUAGAGAUGUGGAGGAACACCAGUGGCGAAGGCGACUCUCUGGUCUGUAACUGACGCUGAGGAGCGAAAGCGUGGGGAGCGAACAGGAUUAGAUACCCUGGUAGUCCACGCCGUAAACGAUGAGUGCUAAGUGUUAGGGGGGUUUCCGCCCCUUAGUGCUGCAGCUAACGCAUUAAGCACUCCGCCUGGGGAGUACGGUCGCAAGACUGAAACUCAAAGGAAUUGACGGGGGCCCGCACAAGCGGUGGAGCAUGUGGUUUAAUUCGAAGCAACGCGAAGAACCUUACCAGGUCUUGACAUCCUCUGACAAUCCUAGAGAUAGGACGUCCCCUUCGGGGGCAGAGUG
rnacentral:rRNA from 1 species